UCACAGUCCAAUAGCAUUCAAAGGGAUGAUCUAAGCCUGCCGUGGCUGCCAAAGCAGUCUGGAUGCAAAUGUGUAUGCUGCCCAGAGGUCAAAGGCUCUCCUUGUCCUGACCGGCUGAUUCUGACUCGACUGGGACUGUGUGACACACACUCUGCUGAGGGCAUGGUGCCCGCUCUUAGGAGUCUCAUGGUCUGCACAAUAGUGACAGGCUGCUCUCUGUAUCCCUGGUUCUGCAUCUGCAGACUCACCAACUGUCCCUCAAAAGCAGUCAGAAAAGUGGUGUUGUCAGCUCUGUGGCCAAUGCUGGAAUCGGAGAUUAAAAGUUGGUCGUUGUUCCUGUCAAAGCAGGAGAAUGAGAUACCCAGACACAUGCUCCACCUGGUGCAAGGCUGUGGGCAGCAUGGGGCAGGUAGAACCGCUGUCUGAGGCCAGGAAGGCCUCCCCAGAGAAGCUGCAGCUGCAUAGUUUGGUUAAUGCAGCACGCCUCAGAAUUCCACACAGACAGCAGCUUCAAGCGUAUCUCUUCUAGUGAUUGCUGCAUGUGUGCCACCCACAGCUUGUCACACUGCACCAGUGCUGCAUUUUACCAGUUUGUGUGACAUGGAAACUUCAUCUCUCUUCAUGCUUUCUACCCUUGAAUAUUUAUAAUGGAGUCAUUGCUUCAAUUCUUCUACAUACAAUAAAACCACUUUUAACUUC